ACUCUAAUAGUUUAUACAAAACAUUGGUC
rnacentral:tRNA from 4 species